GGAUAGGGAGGAGGUGUCUUAUUAAAACAACCCGACUCAGGGAGAAUUCCCAUGGUGGAUAUAAUUUGGGUUAGUAGGAUAUUGGAGUGGGGAAAUAGUCACCAAGAUUUCCUCUGACAGUGAUUUAGUGUAUGGUUGCUUUGCUGUCUGAUACUCCACACAGAGAACUGGCUCCAGGUGGACAUUACUUAACUGCUUUCAAUUUAUAACAGUGACCUGAGGGUUGGAAUACCGUGGGCACCCUUUUCCAGCUUUCAAGUCUUUUCAGAGAAUGGAGUUUUGUGGACCCAGUCUUCCCAUAGCCUAGAG